UGGGGAAUAUUGCGCAAUGGGGGAAACCCUGACGCAGCAACGCCGCGUGAAGGAUGAAGGUUUUCGGAUCGUAAACUUCUUUGAUGAGGGACGAACAAAAUGACGGUACCUCAAAAACAAGCCACGGCUAACUACGUGCCAGCAGCCGCGGUAAUACGUAGGUGGCGAGCGUUGUCCGGAAUUACUGGGUGUAAAGGGCGUGUAGGCGGGGAUGUAAGUCAGAUGUGAAAUUCCAUGGCUCAACUGUGGGGCUGCAUCUGAAACUAUGUCUCUUGAGUGCCGGAGAGGGAAGCGGAAUUCCUAGUGUAGCGGUGAAAUGCGUAGAUAUUAGGAGGAACACCGGUGCCGAAGGCGGCUUUCUGGACGGUAACUGACGCUGAGGCGCGAAAGCGUGGGGAGCAAACA
rnacentral:rRNA from 1 species